UACGUAGGGGGCGAGCGUUGUCCGGAAUCACUGGGCGUAAAGGGCGCGUAGGCGGUUUAAUAAGUCAGUGGUGAAAACUGAGGGCUCAACCCUCAGCCUGCCACUGAUACUGUUAGACUUGAGUAUGGAAGAGGAGAAUGGAAUUCCUAGUGUAGCGGUGAAAUGCGUAGAUAUUAGGAGGAACACCAGUGGCGAAGGCGAUUCUCUGGGCCAAGACUGACGCUGAGGCGCGAAAGCGUGGGGAGCAA
rnacentral:rRNA from 1 species